UCAGGCCUAACACAUGCAAGUAAAACGGCAGCACGGGUGCUUGCGCCUGGUGGCGAGUGGCGAACGGGUGAGUAAUAUAUCGGAACGUAUCCAAUAAUGGGGGAUAACUAAUCGAAAGGUUGGCUAAUACCGCAUACGCCCUACGGGGGAAAGCUGGGGAUCUUCGGACCUGGCGUUAAUGGAGCGGCCGAUAUCUGAUUAGCUAGUUGGUGAGGUAAGAGCUCACCAAGGCGACGAUCAGUAGCUGGUCUGAGAGGACGACCAGCCACACUGGAAUUGAGACACGGUCCAGACUCCUACGGGAGGCAGCAGUGGGGAAUUUUGGACAAUGGGCGCGAGCCUGAUCCA
rnacentral:rRNA from 1 species